GAAAUGCGAUACGUAGUGUGAAUUGCAGAAUUCAGUGAAUCAUCGAAUCUUUGAACGCACAUUGCGCCCUUUGGUAUUCCAAAGGGCAUGCCUGUUCGAGCGUCAUUUGUACCCUCAAGCUUUGCUUGGUGUUGGGCGUCUUUUGUCUCCAGUUCGCUGGAGACUCGCCUUAAAGUCAUUGGCAGCCGGCCUACUGGUUUCGGAGCGCAGCACAAGUCGCGCUCUUUGCCAGUCAAGGACAGCGUCCAGCAAGCCUUUUUUUCAACUUUUGACUUCGGAUCAGGUAGGGAUACCCGCUGAAUUUAA
rnacentral:misc_RNA from 1 species